rnacentral:rRNA from 1 species
GAUGAACGCUGGCGGCGUGCUUAACACAUGCAAGUCGAGCGAAGGGACGUGAAGCUUGCUUCUCUGGUGUUAGCGGCGGACGGGUGAGUAAUACGUGGAUAACCUACCUAUAAGUCUGGGAUAACUUCGGGAAACUGGGGCUAAUACUGGAUAAUAUUUUGAACCGCAUGGUUCCAUGUUGAAAGACGGUCUUUCGUUCUCGUAUAGAUGGAUCCGCGCUGCGUUAGCUAGUUGGUAAUGUAACGGCUUACCAAGGCAACGAUGCAUAGCCGACCUGAGAGGGUGAUCGGCCACACUGGAACUGAGACACGGUCCAGACUCCUACGGGAGGCAGCAGUAGGGAAUCUUCCGCAGUGGGCGAAAGCCUGACGGAGCAACGCCGCGUGAGUGAUGAAGGUCUUCGGAUCGUAAAACUCUGUAUUAGGGAAGAACAUAUGUGUAAGUAACUGUGCACAUCUUGACGGUACCUAAUCAGAAAGCCACGGCUAACUACGUG